rfam:Myotis lucifugus cont2.36415, whole genome shotgun sequence.
CUUGGGAUGGGGGUGUUCUUCAGCCCAGAUUGCAAGAGGGUGCAGGCCAGGCUGAGGGACCCCACUGGUGCACA